UACGUAGGGGGCUAGCGUUGUCCGGAAUCAUUGGGCGUAAAGCGCGCGUAGGCGGCCCGGUAAGUCCGUUGUGAAAGUCAAAGGCUCAACCUUUGAACGCCGAUGGAUACUGCCGGGCUAGAGUCCGGAAGAGGCGAGUGGAAUUCCUGGUGUAGCGGUGGAAUGCGCAGAUAUCAGGAGGAACACCGAUUGCGAAGGCAGCUCGCUGGGACGUAACUGACGCUGAGACGCGAAAGCGUGGGGAGCAAACAGG
rnacentral:rRNA from 1 species